rnacentral:rRNA from 1 species
GAUGAACGCUGGCGGCGUGCCUAAUACAUGCAAGUCGAGCGAACAGACGAGGAGCUUGCUCCUCUGACGUUAGCGGCGGACGGGUGAGUAACACGUGGAUAACCUACCUAUAAGACUGGGAUAACUUCGGGAAACCGGAGCUAAUACCGGAUAAUAUAUUGAACCGCAUGGUUCAAUAGUGAAAGACGGUUUUGCUGUCUCUUAUAGAUGGAUCCGCGCCGCAUUAGCUAGUUGGUAAGGUAACGCCUUACCAAGGCAACGAUGCGUAGCCGACCUGAGAGGGUGAUCGGCCACACUGGAACUGAGACACGGUCCAGACUCCUACGGGAGGCAGCAGUAGGGAAUCUUCCGCAAUGGGCGAAAGCCUGACGGAGCAACGCCGCGUGAGUGAUGAAGGUCUUCGGAUCGUAAAACUCUGUUAUUAGGGAAGAACAACUGUGUAAGUAACUAUGCACGUCUUGACGGUACCUAAUCAGAAAGCCACGGCUAACUACGUG